rnacentral:lncRNA from 1 species
UUUGGAAAUGCUUUAUUUAAACUGAGGAUAUCGGAAACAACCUCUCUAGCCCUACAAGGUAGGGGUAAGGUCUGCGUACACACUGCCUCCCCAGACCCCAAACUGUGUAUGAUGUUGUUGUUGUUUAUAGUUAAAAACAUUGCCAAAGCAAAAGUGUUUGUAAGCUGAAAAACAUUAGUUGGGGGGAUCAACUUAUGGUUUAGAGGGUGUUUGGAUUGACUUUUUAAAAAUACUUAUAAGCUAAGGGGUCGUUUG